GAGGAUAUAGCUCAGUGGUAGAGUACAUGCCUUGCAUACAUGAGGUCCUGGGUUCAAUCCCCAGUGCCUCCA
rnacentral:tRNA from 1 species